UAAAAUUUGAAAGAUAGGAAAGGAGAUAAUCUAGAUAUAUUUCAUUCUUCUUCUUGGAAGCUUCAUCCUUUCUCACCUCAUGCUCACUAUCACACAUCCAUCUAUAUGGCUUAAAAGUUAUUACCUAUUGUUUUGCUGCAUCUGUUGUUUCUACCUCUUCAAAUAAUAUUCUGAAGGUCUUAAAAUUUUUGGAGAUAAGUAAGAUAAGAAAGCCGACGUAUGUCUUGACGUGUGAUAGUAGUGUUGUUUCUAAUUCAUAUUUUCUUUGCUACUACUAUAUUUCUAUUUUUAUUGUCUCUAAUCUAUGUUUGCAGGUGCUUAACUUCCUCCUUUAAUCACAAAAGGAGAAAAAAUUGGUAUAAAGAGACUUAAUUAUUUUGUGGUAAUAUUUUAGAAGUACUGAAACUAUUUUGAGACUUCUUAUUACUGUUAAUGUUUAUUUGGGAUGAUUUGAUUUUAGUGUCAUUGGCUACACCUUCUUACUCUUGCUCAUAAUUGUUACUCUUGCUCAUAAUGCUAUAUAGUUAUUAUUGUUUGUUGUUUGUUUGUAUUUCUACUACACUCUGAUUUUCAGCUGAAAAGCAUUAUAGCACAUAUUUAGGAGGAGCUUUAAUCUCUGGAUUCAGGGUGAGAACUUUCUGCGAGUGAAAGGGAAGUUAUCCCAUUCUUAUUACUUUUUCUUAAAUGUUUUUAUUUUAAAAUGUUUGUCAUUAAGAAAAAGAUUGUUUGAGUUAAAAAAAAAAAAAUUAUACAAACAUUUGGUUGAUUGAUUAAGAAUUGAUUCUAAUUUAUGGUGUAAUUAUGUGUUAUAAAAUUUUAGGAUUGACAUUAAUAUGUAUGAUUAUUUCAUUUGAUUUAGAAAGAAUCAAUCAUUUAGACCAAGAUAUGAAAGAGAUUGUUGCUACUCAUGCAAAUAGAAAAGGAAAGAAGCAUGACAAUUAUUAUGAGAGUUAAUAGAUAGCAACAACUAAUAUGAAUAAUAUAACACUACUUGAAUUAUGUUUGAAAAUAAUCAUUAUUAAGAGCAAGAUUUGAAAAAAAUAUAGAAAGAUGUGCUCCUACUUAAAGGAAGAAAAGUAUCAUGUCUUUAAUGGAAAAUGAUUUGUUACAAGUGAAAAAAAAAAGUAUUAUUGACUUUGUUUUUUAUAGAAAUAAAUUUUUUAAUAUUUUUUAUUUUACAGAAAUAUCUGAUAUCCGAUUUGAUUCAAUUCGAUCUGCAAAUACAGGUCGAAUUCAAGAAUAAAAAUGCCGAUAUUGAAUUUGAUCUAAUCCGAUGAGUUUAGUGCAAAUCGAAUUAAGAUUUCGAUCAUAUUCAAUCUGAUCCAAUCCAUAAAUAUUCAUACCUCUCACCUUUCUAAUGGAGAGAUCUUGCUACUUGUGGACAUGGCCAAGGCCCAAAAGUACUUGAAAAACCCCUUGACUUUACUCAAACUUUCUUAGAGAAUGGGCGAGACAUGGAAAGCAAAGCAUGCCUGAUCACUCAGGCUGUCAUUUUGCGUGACAAAUGCCAAGGCGGCCCUCAAAAAGCAGGUCAAGCUAUUGGCACCUAACCUUGACCUUUCCAAGGUAGGUGCUUCCGAUCAAGCUGCGGAUGGAAGGAUUAUUAACAUCAUUGACAAGUUUUGCAGGAACAGACUUUGACGGAUGAUAUCCUUAGCUACAAGUUCACAAAUAGAAUCUAGAAAGGAUUAAUGCCCUCUCGAGUUGAGCUGUUUACUUGGUUUGUGCUAGUAGGCCGAGUUAAUACAAAGAAUCGUUUGAGUAGAUUGGAUAUCAUUGAUCAAAAUGAUAAUAUUUGUGUCAUGUAUAACAAGGAAGUUGAAUCUGUACAACAUCUGAUCUAUUUGUUA